UUAACAUUUGUUUUUAAUACGUAUUAUCAAUAUUGUGUACAGAUUCCUCAAAAACGUGUUUUACCACUUGAAGCACAGACAAUGUCUUCUUUGAAGAGAAUACAUCAAAUAGACAGUACAACUAUGCAAUCAGGAAGCCAACAAACCUGGAAAAAAGCAUUAUUAAUAAACAUUCCUCAAAAACGUAUUUUACCAGUUGAAGUAAGACUUUUAGACAUAUCUUGUUUGAAGAGAAUGCAUGUAAUAAACAGUACAACUGAGCAAUCAGGAAGCCAAAAAACUGGAAGAAGCAUUAAUAUGCGUUAGAAAAUUUUUUGGUGGUAUAUAAUUUACAAUACAUAAACUUCUUGUGUUUUUGAACUCUUGUGUUUAUAACAAAAUGAAAAGAUAAAUAAAUCUUACUGUUGCUAUUGUAUCCACUAAUUAAGGUAUUAAUUAUUUUAAA